UGGGUAAUUUNUAAAGCAAAGGUGUUUAA
rnacentral:piRNA from 1 species